rnacentral:rRNA from 1 species
UACGUAGGUGGCAAGCGUUGUCCGGAUUUACUGGGCGUAAAGGGCGUGCAGGCGGCUUGUUAAGUGCAGGGUGAAAGCUCCCGGCUCAACUGGGAGAGGUUCUUGCAUACUGGCGAACUCGAGGGAGGCAGAGGAAAGUGGAAUUCCCGGUGUAGUGGUGAUAUGCGUAGAUAUCGGGAGGAACACCUGUGGCGAAGGCGGCUUUCUGGGCCGACACUGACGCUGAUGCGCGAAAGCCAGGGGAGCGAACGGG